GACGAACGCUGGCGGCGUGCCUAAUACAUGCAAGUAGGACGCAGUUGCGAACGGGUGAGUAACGCGUAGGUAACUGCCUAUUAGAGGGGGAUAACUAUUGGAAACGAUAGUUAAUACCGCAUACUAGUAGAUGGACCUGCGUUGUAUUAGCUAGUAGGUAGGGUAAUGGCCUACCUAGGCAACGAUACAUAGCCGAACUGGAAGGGUGGUCGGCCAGACUGGGACUGAGGCACGGCCCAGACUCCUUCGGGGGGCAACAGUAGGGGAACUUCGGAAAUGGGGGGAAAGCUGACCGAGCAACGCCGCGUGAGUGGAGAAGGUUUUCGGAUCGUAAAGCUCUGUUGUUAAGGAAGCGGUACUUAACCAGAAAGGGACGGCUAACUACGUGCCAGCAGCCGCGGUAAUUC
rnacentral:rRNA from 1 species